CUCAUCCUUAAGGGGUGCUCGGUAGAAUGGAGGAGAACAAUACAUAGAUUCCUGAAGAUGGGCACCAAAGUGAUUGGGGUGGGCCCACAGCAGAGGCCUACAGCUCUGUUCAGAAUGCAGAAGCAGGGUGGGCAGAGAGAGGCAGCUCAUCAGAGUGCUUGGGCAAGCGUAGGGCCAGCGACUCGCCACUGCAGACAAUGUAUCUGAGGAAAGCCAUUUAAAAUAGGUGAUAGUCACAUUCCAUCAAAUGUUUGGAAGAGUCCAUGGAGGUAGGGUUGUCAAUCUCAUUACAGCAUUUCAGAGACCUCAGAAGAUUUGGAAAUGAAAAAAGACAAGCAGCACUUGUGGUUCACCUGUGUCAGAAUUAUGGCUCACCUGCAUCUCUGCAAUGCACAGGCGAGCUGUGUAUUGCAGAGUCACCGGUGAGCCACAGUUUCCUCCCAGUUAGGAGGUCAGUGCUAAGACUCUUGCUCUCUUUCCGUCAAACAUGAGAUGCCAAUUUCUUUCUGGGCAGAGGACAAAAUAAAAAUUGUCUGUAAACUUUGGCCAGGCACAGUGGCUUACGCUUGUAAUCCCAGUACUUUGGGAGGCCGAGGCAGGCAGAUUGCCUGAGCUCAGGAGUUCAAGACCAGCCUGGGCAGCAUGAUGAAACCCCAUCUGCACUAAAAUACAACAUAUUAGUUGGACAUGGCAGCGUGUGCCUGUAAUCCCAGCUACUGAGGCUGAGGCAGGAGAAUCGUUUGAACCCAGAAGGCGGAGGUUGCAGUGAGCCUAGAUCGCACCACUGCACUCCAGCCUGGAUGACAGAGUGAGACUCCAUCUCAAACAAAGAAAAAAAAAAUAGCAAAUUUUUCUUUGUGACAAAUUCCAAAAUUAUUAGCUUCAUUUAAAUUUACUUUCCUUUUCAUCUUUCAAUGUCGUCAAGACCAAAAGCAUUGCUUAAUAAUUUUGUUUAUAAACUCAUAUUGCAGCACAGGGCAUGAUCUGUCCUCAAGGCAAAGAUGAUGAGUUACACCUUUCUUGAAAACAUGCAAGUAGGUAUCUCAGCAAAGGCUACUCAUGUGUUAUUAUGAGUAAAUCACUGGCAGUGAAUGUGCAUUUUUUUUUUUUUAAUGGAUGGAUGAGUACACACCUUCUUUUGAGGGCAGGUUCUAUCUGUACUUCUUUCACCUACUAUAUUAUAGGAGCUUAGAAUCCCAGCUGCUGGCUCUGAGCUGAAGUUCUCUGAUGGCUUGUGCAGGGUGGACUGGCCUUCUUCCCCUGUCUGUGUGUCUACUGCUGACCUGUGGCUUUGCCGAGGCAGGGAAGCUGCUGGUAGUGCCCAUGGAUGGGAGCCACUGGUUCACCAUGCGGUCAGUGGUGGAGAAGCUUAUCCUCAGGGGGCAUGAGGUGGUGGUAGUCAUGCCAGAGGUGAGUUGGCAACUGGGAAGAUCACUGAAUUGCACAGUGAAGACUUAUUCAACCUCAUACACUCUGGAGGAUCAGGACCGGGAGUUCAUGGUUUUGGCCGAUGCUCACUGGACAGCACGACUGCAAAGUGCAUUUUCUCUAUUAACAAGUUCGUCCAAUGGUAUUUUUGACUUAUUUUUUUCAAAUUGCAGGAGUUUGUUUAAGGACAAAAAAUUAGUAGAAUACUUAAAGGAGAGUUCUUUUGAUGCAGUGUUUCUGGAUCCUUUUGAUGGCUGUGGCUUAAUUCUUGCCAAAUAUUUCUCCCUCCCCUCUGUGGUCUUCGCCAGGGGAACAUUUUGCCACUAUCUUGAAGAAGGUGCACAGUGCCCUGCUCCUCUUUCCUACAUCCCCAGAGGUCUCUUAGGGUUCUCAGAUGCCAUGACUUUCAAGGAGAGAGUAUGGAACCACAUCACACACUUGGAGGAACAUUUGUUUUGCCCCUAUUUUUAAAAAAAUGUCUUAGAAAUAGCCUCUGAAAUCCUCCAAACAUCUGUCACGGCAUAUGAUCUCUACAGCCACACAUCAAUUUGGUUGUUGCGAACGGACUUUGUUUUGGACUAUCCCAAACCCGUGAUGCCCAACAUGGUCUUCAUUGGUGGUAUCAACUGCCACCAGGGAAAGCCAGUGCCUAUGGAAUUUGAAGCCUACAUAAAAACUCAAAAAGGCGGGGUUCAGAGAGCUUUCAGGUUGCUGAAGGUGUGGAGGGUGGGGCACCCAGAGAUGGCAGAUGGGGCUCCAUGGCCUUACCCCCAUAUCUUGUUCUUUGCACUUUUUCCUCUGGCUAUUCAUCUGUGUUGUUUGCAAUAUCCUUUGUGAUAAACCAAACCUAGUAACUAAACUGUUUUCUUCAGUUCUGUGAGUCAUUCUAGCAAAUGAUUGACUCCAAGAAAGAGGGUGUGUGAACCUCUGAUUUUUGCCAAGUCAGACAGAAGUUGUGGGUAACCUGGGAACCUACUAUUUGCAAUUGGUGUCUGAAGUGGAGGCAGUCUUGUAGGACUGAGCCCUUAACCUGUGGGGUCCAUGCUAACUCUGAAUUCAAUUCAGAAUGGAAUUGAAUUGUAGGAUACCCAGCUGGUGUUAGAGAAUAGGUCCAUGUGAAAUAAAAUCCCCACACAUCAUGGACAUAACAGACAACGUCAAUGAUGAGGAAUCCAGCAAGUUCGGGAUAGAGAAUUGGCAGGGGGUCUCCAGGGGUCUCUCCAAGUUGUCUUCAACGUGUUGCUAUAACUUUUCUGAGAGGGAGAGGCAGACUGGUGGAGAUGAAGAGAAAAUCCUGGAAGUUCAGGUGAAAGUUGACAUAGGGUGUAGUUGAUCCAUAUUCACUGUGUGCUUAAAAUGGUUAAAUAUUAAUUUGGGUU